ensembl:snoRNA
GACAUUCUCCAUCUUUGAAGAUCCUUUAAUUGGCAUGUGAGAUAAACAUACCUGCAUGUUAGUCUUAGGUUCUGAUGGAAAUGACAUGCAAUUGUGCUGCCAUUUUUUACUAUAGGACUUGACUGGUGUGCAGACACU